AUCCCGCCCCUGUCUCUGAGAGACACAGUGUCCCUGGGGCUCCUGAUCCAGCCUGGCAGGGACUGCACUGAUCUCCCAGGGCUCAGCCUUCUCCCUGGAAGGUUCCAGAUCUGUCUCAGGAGGAGAGAAGACGCCCACAUUCCCAGCAGUGGCUCCUUCAGUCUGCAGCCCUGGGUCAGCCAUGGCCUCUCCCAGGCCGGGUUCUCUGCCCAGACCCAGUGUCUGAGUGUGUCAGCCUUACACACCGGGACCGGAGUCUCCUUUACCUGAUGGGAGAGGAGGACACGCCUACCCUAGGCUGGUUCCCCAGUUUCUACAACUUUCCAAAAAAUACAUUCUCCCAAAUUCCUGUGUGUGAGGUUUGCAUCCCUCCCUCACCCCAAUUCUCACUCUUCCUAGAAUGGUCACGUGAGCUCUUAUGGGGUGCCCUGAAAAAACCUCUAAAAUAUGUGGGUUUUUUAAUUUUGUCUUUCUUUUUUUUUAACUGUCAUUUUCCUUCAGUUAGUUUUUUCUUCCUCACUGGGGUGACACUGUUUUGCCCUCCCUUUUCAUUAUCAUCUGUAUGAGUCUCCACAGGUGUCAUGGGGGACUGCUAGUCUGGAUAAUUAGACAGCUCAGUGUUCCCUUUAAAGGAAAGAGUCCCAUGAGCUUACACUAUUUUCUGCCACAAUUAACUAUCUGAACCCCCCACUAAGUUCCCUCAGCCCCAACAAGUUUCAGUGUUGCCCCAGUGAAUUAGGAGUUGAGCUUCCUCAGAGACAGGGUCUUCUGCAACUGAAGACUGGAGUGACAGGAAAAUCCACACACCCCUGUGAGCACCGCUGUGUCCCAGUGAGUGCUGCACUGGGCUCCACAGCAACUUCCAGGGAUCCUGGGUGACAACACCUUGUAUCUUGUCCCCCAGAGGCAGUAUUGGGGAGUCAUUUUCUCUAGGUGAGUGUCAGAGGUUCACCCCAUUUCUGCUGCACACUUGGUGUUGUCUGUUCACUUGGACAGUUAACCGUUGGACUGGUCAGCAAGAUGGCCACAGCGGUUGUGAUUCAAUGGUGGCACCCUUUAUGUAUCCCAUUCUUCAUAAUUUGUUAUAUUGAUAUGAUUUUAAUCAUGUAUGUAAAUUAUAUUACAUCCCUUUUUCCAUUCUUUUCCCACCUAACUUAUGGUAUAGAACAUUAUAUAAGGAAGACCAUGUGACCUGCUGGGUCAUGUGAUUCCCUCUUAGCUUCUGGGCUCUCCCAGGAAAAUGUGCAGAUCUGUGAUGAAGGGGACCAGCUCCACCUGCAGGUCACUAGUGGGAUGGCAGUCAGAAGCGUUCAGACACAUAGUUCAGUGUCAUCAUUGAUUUAACUUAGUCUAUGCAGAUUUCAGUUUACCUUGUUAUUGUGGGAUUUCUUAAAUCUUCCACACAGAUCCCCCAAAGGCACAUGUGACCCAACAUCCUGGACAUAAAGGUGAUGUCACCCUGAGAUGCUGGGCCCUGGGUUUCUACCCUGCUGACAUCACCCUGACCUGGCAGAGGGAGGAGGAGGAACAGACUCAGGACAUGGAGCUGGUGGAGACCAGACCUUCUGGGGAUGGAACCUUCCAGAAGUGGGCAUCUCUAGUGGUGCCUUCUGGAGAGGAGCAGAGAUGCACAUGCCAUGUGCACCAUGAGGGACUGCCUGAGCCCCUCACCCUGAGAUGGGAGCCUCCUCAGUCUACUGUCCCCAUCAUGGCAGUCAUUGCUGUUCUGGUUCUCCUUGGAGCUGUGACCAUCAUUGGAGCUGUGGUGGCUGUUCUGAGGAAGAGGAAGGGAAAAGCAGGUGGAAAAGGAGGGAACUAUGCUCCAGCUCCAGGCAGGGACAGUUCCCAGAGCUCUGAUGUGUCUCGCCCAGUCUGUUAAGGACCCAACUAGAUCCCUGCACUCGGGAGACUGUGACCUAAGAACAUGAACUUCAAUCUGAGCUCCUGCCUCAUUCCAGGCCCCUCCCUGGCUCUCUCCUUCUCUCCCAUCAUUUAGAAUUUAAGCAGAGUUGUAGGAUGGCAGAGAGAGGGAUCCACAGGGUCUCAUCUCAGAUCUGUCCUGUUGGAUCUGUGUUCUGCCCAAGGUCCCCUCUCCCUCCCUGGCUCUGGGUAUCCUGGUGCUGCCUCCAGUGGAGAUUCCAGGAUUUACAGGCUGAGCCUACCUUAGAUUUGUGUUUGUUUAAAAGACAUGAUCCAGGGACUGAAGAGAUGGCUCAGGAUUUCAGAUCACUGGCGGUUCUUGCAGAGGAACCAUGUUAGACACCAGCACCUACACCGUGGCAGAUAGCCAUCCAUAACUCCUGUUCCAUAGCAUGAAAUGCCCCCUGUGGACACCAGAUAGACACAAGGUGCAAAUACCUACAGGCAAGAAUUCAUUCACAGAUGUAAAAUAAUGAAUGUUUAAAAAUAGGUUGUGGGGGGCUGGAGAGAUAGCUCAGAGGCUACGAGUACUGACUGCUCUUCCAGAGGUCCUGAGUUCAAUUCCCAGCAACCACAUGGUGGCUCACAACCAUCU